UACGGAGGGGGCUAGCGUUGUUCGGAAUUACUGGGCGUAAAGCGCACGUAGGCGGCUUUGUAAGUCAGGGGUGAAAUCCUGGAGCUCAACUCCAGAACUGCCUUUGAUACUGGGGAGCUCGAGUCCGGAAGAGGUGAGUGGAACUCCGAGUGUAGAGGUGAAAUUCGUAGAUAUUCGGAAGAACACCAGUGGCGAAGGCGGCCAUCUGGACCGCAACUGACGCUG
rnacentral:rRNA from 1 species